rnacentral:rRNA from 1 species
UACGUAGGGUGCGAGCGUUAAUCGGAAUUGCUGGGCGUAAAGUGUGCGCAGGCGGCAGAGCAAGUCGAGUGUGAAAGCCCCGGGCUUAACUUGGGAAUUGCGCUCGAAACUACUUUGCUGGAGUGUGGCAGAGGAAGGUGGAAUUCCACGUGUAGCGGUGAAAUGCGUAGAGAUGUGGAGGAACACCAAUGGCGAAGGCAGCCUUCUGGGCCAACACUGACGCUCAUGCACGAAAGCGUGGGGAGCAAACAGG